rnacentral:rRNA from 1 species
UACGAAGAGGGCUAGCGUUGUUCGGAUUUACUGGGCGUAAAGCGCAUGUAGGCGGGCCGAUAAGUUGGGGGUGAAAUCCCGGAGCUCAACUCCGGAACUGCCUCCAUAACUAACGGAGUGGAGCAGAAGAGAGGCGAGUGGAAUUCCGAGUGUAGAGGUGAAAUUCGUAGAUAUUCGGAGGAACACCAGUGGCGAAGGUGACUCGCUGUCUUCUUGCUAACGCUGAGAUGCGAAAGCGUGGGGAGCACUCAGG